ACUUGUUCUCAAGCUGGUGAUGAUGACCAUGAGAAGCUCCAACGUCUAGGCUGUUAGAAUUGUGAUGAUUUGCUUCCGCCGAAGAUGAUUUGGCAUAUAAACCAUGACCUAGUUUCUCACUCUUCUUUGAUUCAUCUACAUGCACAUCAUCUUCAACUGAUAUAGCUACUGCUUGUUGUCCAAAAGGACCAGGUGCAAUGGUUUCCUUGCCCUUUUUAUGCUCAUCGAUAUGUAUGGUUGCUGAGGAUGAUUGGGCAUGUAAACCAUGAUCGAAUUUCUCUUUCUUUCUUGUUUCGUCUACAUGCACAUCAUCUUCAACUGAUAUAACUACUGCUUGUUGUCCAAAAGGACCCGGAACAAUGGUUUCCUUGCCCUUUUUAUGCUCAUCGAUAUGGAUGAUAUCAGUUUCUUGUGUGCUCUCCUUCCUCUUCUGAAAGCAGCAAUAUAGAGCAAAAGUCAGCAAAGAAAGCAAGACAAGACCCCCUGCGCAGAUGACUACAACUACUAUGAAUAUGGGUUGAGUUGAGGCCAUCUUUGUUCUUCUGUUGUGUUAAUCAAUUAAUGUUGUAGUUUAAGUGCCUUUUGAAAUGUGAUUUAUAGCAAAUACUUGGUAUGGGAUUAUGCAAUUGUUUUAGUAACUUGACUCUCAUGCUAAGUUUUAGAAGGGUUGUUUGUAGUGAAAAACACUUCUCUUCAUUCUUCCUUGGCUUAUUUUGCUUGUUGAUCUGUUUUUUUGUUUAAAAAAUAUGUAGGAUCUGUUGUGUACGUGAGGUUGAAUUUUUAUCUUUCUUUUUUUUUUGCAAUUCACGGGCAAUGUAUAACUUUGAUAUAAUAAUAUGCAAGUAUUUUUUUUAAUAUUCUCUCACCGUUUAUUUGCUAUUAUUAAUACACCUAUAAAAGAGUUUAUAUGAAUAUGUCUGAAUGUGUGUGUUAAUUGUUGGAAUCUCACCUAUAUUCGACUUAUUCCUUUGAUAAAUUGUUGAGAAAUACUUUUUUUAGGUAUAUAUGCUUAUAGCAUUUCACUGGUAUUUAAAUCGUUAAUACACGACGUUAUAUUAAUAUAAGUUUGAGAGCUAACUCGAGAUAUGGCUACUCAUAUUAAUUUAAAGCUCUUCAAAAAAAGAUGCUGCACUUUCAAAAAAAAAAAGAUGUUGCUCAUCCUAUUCCUGUGAAAUACUCCUAUGAUGCAAGUUUGUAUUAUUUUUAAGGUUUAAUUGCACUUUUCCCCCUAUAGUUUGUCAAUUGUGCGAUUUUGCAUCCCAUAGUUUUAAACGAGCGAUUUUGCCCCCUAUAGUUUUCUCCUUUCUGAUUUUAUGGUCUCCAUGACAUUUAGUGUUAAUGUGUCUGUUUUUUAUCAAUUAAUGUGUGCCACGUGUGUAAUUCCAUUUUUUAAAAAAUAAAAAAAAUGGUAUUUUUCAGAUACCAAAGGGUGGAAACAAUGUGAUUUUUUUCUCUCAAAAUCUGAAAAAUACCAUUUUUUAUUUUUUAAAAAAUGGAAUUACACACGUGGCACACAUUAAUUGAUAAAAAAAACAGACGCAUCAGCACUAAAUGUCAUGGGGACCAUAAAAUCAGAAAGGGGGAAAACUAUAGGGGGCAAAAUCGCUCGUUUAAAACUAUGGGUUGCAAAAUCGCACAAUUGGCAAUCUAUAGGGGGAAAAGUGCAAUUAAGCCUAUUUUUAAAUUCAGAUUUAAUAAUGCACUUCAGGUUGGGUCAAGGCAUAUAUAUUGGUAAAGGGAUCCAAUGGUUUAAUUUCCAUUAAUUGAUCAUGAGAUUAUACGUUCGUGUUUCUCACGUAUUCAACAUCAAUACUAGUACUUAAAAGUUUUAACGUUUCACAAAGUUAGAUAUUGCUUUUAAAUACCCAUAAUCUCAUGAAUGUGUUCAUAGGCGUGUGUAACAAAUCAGUUUGGUUUAUAUUUUCUGUCAAAAAUAUCCAAAGAACGAAUUUAGAAGUACUGCAUUAUGAUUAUAGUACCUUUGAGUUUUCAACUUACAUAGAGUUAUGAAAAUAAAUAUAUAAGACAAAAAGCAUAAAAACCAUUAAAGAAAAUUAGCACAUUAAUCUAACUUAUAUUAAUGUAAAUCAAGACACUAAUGUAAGCAUAGAAAUAGAUACUAUACUAAUGUUUUAAUUUUAAUAAGACCCUAAAAUAUAAAAUAACCAGCAAUAUUGCCUAGGAGUUCCCAUUACCAAUCUCUUUCCUCAAGUCAAGCUUUUUGUCUUCUGCAUCUUCUGCCUCCUCCUCUAGUGAAUCCUCUUCACUAGUCCCCUUUUCUUUCUCAACCUUCAUCUCUGCUUCUUUCUUAGCUUUCAUCUCAGCCUCUUCCUUAGAGGUUCUAAGUGCUUGGAUCAAAGCCUCUCCAAUGAUGCCUCAACAUCUUCAUAGCUACCUUAGGCAUCAAGUUUUCAGCAACAUCAGCCUGAGUUAUGUUGGUCUCUUCCAACAAGCAUCGAACCGUCUUGAACAAAGGAUGAGAUUCAAUACUCAGAUAACUCAUUGCUAGCAUUUUGAAUCCAUCAAAACCACAAUAAGACAACUCAAUAUGCAUGCAUGUCCAUUCGUCCACGACGAAUCAAAGCUUGAUCAAGUUUCCUUAACUCAAUGUUAGAUCUAACAAUUUCCUUAACUCAAUGUCAUAAAUAUCAUACUUCAAAAAAAUUAGAAAUGGCAGUAACUAGUGAUGAUUUUCCUGUUCCUGGAGGACCAUAGAACAAAUAGCCUAUCUUCCAAGGCUUACCAAUUUUUGCAUAAUACUCUUUAGCCUUACUGAAUGUAACAAGAUCAUCAACAAUCUAUUUCUUCUUUUAGGAUUCAUUGCAAUUGUUUCAAAGAAGAUGGAUGUUCAAAUAUAACAUGACUCCAUUUACCUCUCCAUUGAAACGAAAAAAAAAAGUGAAACAUAAUCUUAAUAAACAUGGACAAAUGUUGUUUAAUUGUAGUUUUAGCGCAAGUGUAUUAGUAAAUAUUGGAUAUAACUUUACGACACAUUUGUGACAACUUUUUAAAAAAAUUCUUUCUCAUAUUCACAUUAUAUUCUUACACUAUUUUUCACUUUCUUUUUCCAUUGUUUUUGACCAGUAAAAAAAAAAAGAUUGCAAUUUGUCCUAAGAGUUAUCACAAAAUGAGUGGACAAAUAUCAUUACUCAAUCAUAAUGGACUUAGUAAUCUCAAUAAACAUAUUGGUUUGAUUUCUUUUAAUUUCACUUUGACUUUUUGAUUGUUUUAAUAACAAAUAUUAGUAUAGUAAAUGAUAACUUUAGUCCAUGACUUUGCACCUCGUUGCCACAAAGGUCCAUGACUCGGGAUUAAAUACAAAGUAGUCUCUGAAUGUGCACUUCUGUUAUCAGUUUAGUCUAUAGCAAAAACUUUUGUUAAUUGAUGAGGUGACAAUUACUUUAUGCUGACAAGGUACACAAGGUGUCACAUGGACUAAAGUGAAAGUAGAAAAUAGUUACUUUGAUCCUUGAACCGAAAAUCAAUAUCCCUAAAUCUAAUAUAAUUCCUUUUUUUAUUCAAAAUCAAAUCUUCCAUUAAACUCUUUAGACCUUCAACUUGGAUUUUUAUAAUAUUGUGAAUUGUAUGGCUAGGCUUCUAUUUAGUAUUACUAGUGUUGUUAAUUCUGAUUGGAUUGUACACCUUUGGGUUAUGCUUGAGACUUAGGUUCCCACUUUGGAUUCUCUUGAUUGUACUGGAUCCUAAUGUUUUUACUUUGCAUUCUAUUGGAAUAUUCAAUCUUCUUUUCUCUCAGAUAAUUAAGUUUAUUUAAUGUUUAAUGGAAGUUUGAUUUUGAAAAAAGAGAUAAUUAAAUGAGAUCGAGGGAUUUAGAGUUUUGAGGAUUAAAUUCGGGAUUUAGAGAUUUAAGAUUUAAUUUGGGAUAUUGAUUUCGAUUCAAGGAUCAAAAUGACUUUUUUUUACUUUCAUUUUAGUCCAUGUGACACCUCACGCACAUUGAUAUCACAAAACAUUUUCCACCUCAUCAGUUAACAAAAUUUUUUAACGUUAGAGACUAAACUGAUAACGGAAGUACACAUUCAUAGACUAAUUUUUAUUUAAUUAUGAGUCAGAAAUCUUUAAACUAGCGAGUUGGAAAGUCAAAGAUUAAAAUGAAAAUUUACUCAAUAUUCGUAAUUAGUUAUUUUUUUUAAACUAUUAGUAAUUAGUUUUUAAAUUAAAUUUUUUCACCGUUUGAAUUUGAACCUAAAAUCCACGGUUAUUUCAUAACACAAAUAGUUGAAUUACCUCGGACUACUUUUAUCAUUGUACUCAGUUUUAUUUAUAAAAAAAAACUAUUUAGAUUGAUUGAAUAAUUGUUGUUAUUAUUGUCAUUAUUGUUCUUGUUAUUGUUAUUAUUGUCGUUAUUGUUCUUGUUAUUAGAGAAACAAAACACAAUCAACCAUACGGUCUUCUUUUGUGUUAUUUAUGUGUUGAAAAGCUUAGAUAUCAAAUAUUGACUUAGGAUGAAUGGAUUUUUGCACUUCAUGUGUUCCCUUUUAGGUGUUUGAUAAUUGUCUUAAGUGAUGUCAUGUGAUACUUCUACCAUUAAGCAACACAACAACCCAUCAUCCGAAAUAAAAUAAUUUAGAUUUGAGCUGGUCAUAUUUUUAUCCAACCUUAUUAAAUGAAUCAGCCAAAAAAAAACCCUAAACCCUAAAAUGAAUGCUUUGAUCAAUGAUACUGCUGCCAAAUAACAAAUGAUUGAUAAUAAAAAACCUUAGAUAAUUACUCAGCUUGAUAAAGGCUUAAGAUGGAUGCUUGGUGGAUUUUCCGAAUCCACAAUUAAAGGUGAAAUUUGUUCUUAAAUUUCCUUUUUAUUAUUUUCUAAAACUGACUUUAUGUUUGAUUUUUAGAUCUAGAAUUUCAAAUUUCUUUCCUUCAUGAAAUAUAUGGAGAUGCUGGAGUUGCGCUACAUGGUUCAAUGCUAUAAUACACUGUAGACUUGAUUUGACUGAAAUUUUUAAUUUUAUUAUUGGAUUCUUUACAGAACUUUUCGGACAAAUGACAUUUUUAUUACUGUGAACAGAGCCACAUAUUUUGCUCUGUUGAUAGCUCAGAUUAGGAGACGAAGAAAAAAGCUUAACAUGAAAUUGAACAGUUUUAACCCAUUGACAUUUGAGGCAAUGGUUGGUCAUCAUAUUGUAAGUUAAAAUUUGUUUUCUUUAGUAUAAUAAACUAAAUAAUUUCCAAAAUUGGUUCAAUAUGACAAAGGGUCUCAAAGUCAACUAUAGGAUUACAAAUUACAUGUUACCUACUCAAUAUGUAAUGAAAUUGUGGAAAGUAGAGACUGAUUUGCCACCUCUGCAUGUAAAUCUAGUUUUUAGCUCUUAUAAUUUGCAUGAAAAUACAGCCAUACAAGAAUCGAUUCAGAUAUUUACACGAGUUAGCGCAAUAAUUUAUCUAUGUGUCCAUCUUCUCGCUUGUAAUAAAAAUGAUAAUAAUAACAAUGAUAACAAUAAUGAUUAUAACGAUAUUAACAACAAUGAUAAUAACAAUGACAAGAUUAAUUAUAACAACACAACAACGACUACAACAAUAACAAAAACUUCAACAAUAAUAACAUUAACAAUAAUAACAACAAUGACAAUCAUGAUGAUGAUAACAACAACAACAACAACAAUAAGAACAAAAUAACAACAAAAAUAAUAAUCAAACUGAUGAGUCAAUGAGUCCAAAAUUAUGAGAUGUGUAGGAAUUAAAGUCACAAUCACAUGAAUUGAUUCUUGAUUGUGUGAUGAGGAAAUUGAUUUUGAUAGAAUUGAAUAUGUAGAAUUGACUUUGGUCAAAAAUGAAUUUUGUUUCAAUACAAGUGACUUGAAAAUCAAUUUUAGAGACCAAAUCAAUUAUAUUCAACAACAACAACAUACAUUUUGACAUGUUUGGUUCCUCUAGAGUAUAAUUGAUUGUGUCUUAAGAAUUGAUUCUAAUUGAAGUUAGAAAAUGUAGUUUUUAAUUCUAGAAUUGAUAUUCACACUUAAAUUUUGUGUGUGUUUGGAUGGAUAGCACAAAAUCAGAAUGACCCUCCGUGAUUUUGCAUAAGCUACACAAUGUGGUUGUUGAAAAAUCACAUGUUUAACAUGAAUGUAUCAAAACAUGAAGUUUUGAUCUUUCUUUGUUAUCUAAUGUGUGUUCUUGAUGUUUUAUUAAGACAUGAUCUAAGUAUAACUUAAUCAAGAAUCAUUAAUCAAACUAUCUUAAAGAUAAAUACUAUCAGAGUUCAUAAUGUUCAUAGAAGAGUUCAAAAAAUUCACUUUUCCACUAAAUAUGAAGCUCAAAAUGUUCAACCUAAAACAUUCACCGCACUUGCGAAAGACAUGGACUAAACACACACAUGCAUUAAAAGAACAAAUCAUUGGAUAAAACACAUUAGAAGAAAGUGUGGUUAAGAUUCAUUAUUUAUGAAUGACAAAGAAGCAAUGAAGUAAAUGAACAUUCAUUUUCUCUCAUAAAGAAUGAUCAUCUUAAACACAUCUCUUUUGAUGUUCAUUUUGACUUUGUAUGCAUGAAAUAGUUUCUUAACUUAAAUUAACAGGAAGAAUUAGCUGGGAUCAUAUAGUAACAGGAGGAUAUUUACUGAGAGCACAAUAAUAUAUAUUAAUAGGAGAACAAUAUUCUAUCACAAAUAUGUUAAAUUUUAAUGAUACAUUUUGCAUUGGAAAAUCUGAACGUACCUGGAGUGUUAGCACUGCAUUAGACUUGACAAUUUGUUUAUCUUUGAGUUGCACACACUCUGGUGGUAUUACCACAUCUUGUUCGUGCAAAGCAAAAACCCGUGCCACUUUAUCUGUGAUCGGGUUCAGAAGGUGAAAACCACAGUUGAUGGUUUUUCUGUACUUUCCUAGACGUUCAACUAUGUAGGCGUGAUCUUCUUUAACGACGUGAAAGCCGAAGUUAAGCAGCAGUCGAAUGUGAUGAUUAUUGCAUAGGAUAUAAAACACUUGUGUGCGUAAUAUUGCCUAACAUGAAAUUUACUAACACAUGUGAUUGAAUGUAGGUGUUACAUAGGUGGGUUGGAUCUGGGUUUCAUGAAGAGGAGCUCAACUGUAUGCACUGAAUUGGUCGGUUGUCCAAUGGUACUGUGAUGCAUAUACGGUCAAACAGAGCAACAAGAAAUUGAAGAAGACAUCUUUUUAGAACUACUACCUUAAUCUCGGUGUCGCUUUGGUUGUUUUGAUGGCAAACAUCAAUGAGCUAGCAAACUUGUAUGCCAUCCGUGUACCUGCAUUGCAUUAUUUUGUUAUAGAAAUAGUUUAUACAUAAGUGUUUAUGAUAUAAGCUGAAAAUUAUGUUGUUUAUCCAAACAGAGCCAAACUUAUCAGCUAUAAGCUGAUUCAUAUCAUUAUAAGCCUAACUGCUCAAGUCCAAUCCAAAGGACUAAUUUAGAAGACAUGUUUUUGCAACAAUUUCUGAGGGCCCGUUUGAAUUGGCUUAUUUUUAAGCUUAUGCAAAUAAAUAAGCUUUUACGUAUUAUUCAUAAGCUUGUCUAGGUAGUUAAUGAAAAAACUACUUAUGAAGAUACAAUUUUUGAUAGUGAGAACUUAUGAAUUAACAUCAAAGCUCAUUUAUUUGAGUAAGCUAUUUUUCAUAAGCAGAAAAAUAUGCCAGAGUUGUAAUCUGAAAAGCCAGAACAAAUCAGAUGUUCAAAAUGAAACUACAGCGUGUUUGAAGUCAUACGCUAAGAAUCCCCAAUGGUUAAUUGCAGUAACUUACAAGUAUGCGUUAACUUGACGACACGACAUCUUGGAUAAACUCAAUUCUCAAAGGAAUUAAGAGUAUCAUCUUCCUCAACACUUUCUAUCCUUUGUGAUAAUCUCAAUGUCACCUUUCUUACUCAAUAUUAUAUAUGAAACACAUCUCUAUUGACGUUCAUUUUGACUUUGAUCUAGUCCAGUGGCGGAGCUACGUUGCCAACUCUGCAAGCACGUAUCCUCACUUUCAUUUUGCUUUUCUCCAUACCACAUGCAUACACAUAAAUAUAAUUUUCUUUCCACCAAUUGCUUCGGUUCCUAAUUCUUUUCUAGCAUAAAGUGUUAUAACUUUAUAAGGUAUAAUGAUACUAUAACAAUAUGUAUUUACCCAUUAAAGCGAUUUAUUUUAUUCACUAAAAAAGCCAUUCAUUUAUCUGUGAGUCCGUAUUGUUUGUGUUAAUUUACUUUUAAAGAGAACAUGCCAUAAAAAUAUUACAUUUUUUCGUGUGUUAACCUUCUGUUUUUCAAAAGAAAUGGAACUUGAUAAUCGGGAGUUCGGUUGUGACGUAAGGAUAGUUUGAUAAAAUAUUGUUCCACCAAAAAAUCAAACUCAAAAUCUCUCAAACAAUUCAUCUUUGAUGAAACUUAUUUUAGCUCUUGAUCGCAAUUGCUUGAUUUAUUAUAUGUUUUUUUUAUAUAUUUUAGGUAGUCCUUCAAAAAAAAUUAGGUGAUGCAUUUUUUGAAAUACUUACUUCACUUUCUUAAUUUUGGGACGUCCACUAAAAAGUUCCCAAAAAAUAAUGAUAACAUUUUUUUUAUAAUAGUAAUUAUAACAUUUACAUAACACAUUAAAAAAAAAUUAAAAUUACAUGUAAAUAUUGCCUCCACUACUUCAAUUUCCUGCCUCCGCCACUGAUCUAUUCUAACAAGAAAAAUUCAAAAUUAAAUAUCAUGUACGUUCAGUAUGAAUUCUUUAUAAGUAUCUUCCUCGUGAGUACUCCUAUGCUCAUUGCGACAAUUUAAAUAUAAAUAAUACGUGAUAUAAAAUAGAAUGACCAUACAAAUGGGAUAAAGUCGUUGAAUGAUUUUACAUUAUGUUGUCAGGGCCGGUCCAAAACUAAUGUAACCUCAAUUAACAUUGCAUAACUUCCAACAAUUCUCUUCAAAAAAAAAAAAAAAACUUCCAACAAUUGAUGACACAUCACCUCUACUUAUUCACCAAAUUUUCAUCAAAUGAAGUAUAACAUUGUUGUUUAAUUAAUAGACGUCUCACAAAAUCUCCACAUCACUAUCUACAAAUAAUUGUUGUAGUAUCGGUAUUCGAUACAAACCAUUACCUAAUUUAUGUCUGAUACAUCCCGAUACGUACUAGGAGAGUAUUCAGUGAUUAAAAUUUAUUUUAAAUAAAAUAUCUUAUACGUUUUACAUACACCAGAGAAAUAUUUUCUUAAAAAAAUAAGAAAAUAAAAAAAAAACAUUAUAAUUAAAACAUUACGUGACAGGCACGUGACAUAUAUUAGAAUAAUGACAAGUUAGCUAUGAAAUGGGAGAGAUGUUAUAAUAUGAAAGACAUGUGACAUAUAUUAUCACUCUUUGGAUGGUUUGAUAGACUCAAAGGCGCCGUCAAACCCUAAGGCAGUCGCAACAACCCAAAUGACAAACAAACAAGAACCUGUUUCGAAAAAGGUGCAAAAGACAAUUAAGGAUGCGCCUUUUCUAUGGGCAUCUGCAUUUUUAACUGAUGCAAAAAUAAAAGGUAAAUGGAAUUUAGUUAAAUGAUUGUGUUUUUUUAUUUGUUUUUUAUUUUACAAUAAGACAAUACCUUAAUAUGCAAUUUUCCAUAUUGUCUUUCCUACUUUCUCUUUAAAUUCAAUGCCUUAUCGUUACUUUUAAUUAUUAUUUGCUAAAAAUUCUCAUGUUAUUAAUCCACAGAAGUCGAACACUAUGGGUGUGUUUGUUUCAAGUUUAUCAAAUUUAUUCCAAAGUAUUUAGGAAAAAUAUGUUUGAUUAACUUUAUAAUAUUCUUAGGAACCAUAAAAAUAUGGAUUAUAAUAGGUAACUAUUUAUGAAUUUAUUCUCACCCUUUUUCUUGGUAAAAUUUUUCUAUUCCCAGGAACAUUUUAUAUCCGGGAAUAAAAUUUAGUAAACUUGUAACAAACCUAGACAUAUAUAUUCAUAUCAUUUUAUUCUCGGGAAUCAACAAAUAUAACUUGAAACAAACACACCCGUGUAAAACCCUUGUAUAUUGGAGGUUGUUGUUGGUAGUAACACUAUGAGUAAAAGAUUAAAUUAUUUUCGCAAAUUAAGUUGAACAAAUAUCUACUGAUUUAUAUAAAUCGAUUAUAUUGGCAAAGAUUUGGCAUAAAAGAAAAAGAUUUAAUAGAAACAUUACAUUAAUUUUGACAAAAAAAAAAUUACAUUAAUAAUGUUAACUUUCAUCAAAUAUCUUUAAACAAUUAACAAUAUUAAUAAUCUAAUUUCUUUUUUUUUAUAUAAUUACCACGAUGUUACGUGAACCGUGCGAAAACACAUGACUUUUACUAUUGAAGAACAAACAAGAGAAAGCAAUUUACGAGAGGUAGCCUGAUACAAUCCUAGACUGGACAGCGGGGAAGCUAACAAAUUCAACCAUAAGUGGUAGGAUUGUUAAAAUUAAAUGUUUUAUUAUUAAAUUUAUCUUAUUAUUUAGUUUACAAACUCUUUAUUUUCUAGAUCCCGAGAAUCAAAACGCAAUAAGCCAUACAAUUUUAGUAGUAUACGAAGUGAAGCUACAUGGAUGGACGAUAAUAAUUGCAGUUGUAUAGUGAUUAAUAUUUUUAUUUUUUGCAAAGCACAAAAUUUUACGGUAAUAUUUAAUUAAAGUGAUUUUGACUGAAAUAUGAAUAAUUUAUUGUUGUCUACAAAGUGAGAUAACAACCAACAUCAAGUCCUAUAGUUUGAACCCUUGGAUAUUGGAAACCAUUGUUGGUCGUAACUUUAACACCCCGUUUUCCCAACGCGAAAAUUUCAUUUAUUUAAUCAGAGUAAUUCACCUAAACGGAAUGUCACAUUCUUUUCUUAAAAUCAUAAACUGUAUAAAUAACUAUUUAUCCUUUAAAAUUCAAUAACUAAAAAGUCUUUAAUACUUCGCAACGGAAAUUAUUCAAUAAUCAAAAACAGUCUUUGGCACUAAAGCCUCUUUACAAUUAUGUCAUAAAAAUCCAUUCUAAAAACAUAGUCAUAACUCUUCAGAAACAAUACGUAAGGAAUAGAAAGCAAUAACAAAUUCCCAUCCCGUUACGUAUCAGAGCACCUAAAGACACUUGAGCCACCACUCCUACUAAUCAUUAAUACCUGCAAGUUACUCAUACGAAGAGCAACAUUUUCAAGCAGAAGGGGUGAGAUUUCACAAAACAAUAAUAUCAAGCAUAUAAUUCAAUAAUUAUAUUUAACAACACAAAUAACUUCAUCUAUUAGUAAUAAUAAUUCUUCAUGUAAUAAUUCUUAAUAACUCAACCAACUUCUAAUUAUCAUUUAACACAUAUUAACCAAAUCGUAACAAACAUAGAUCAUCACAUCAUAGUCAUAGUUCAUAUAUAGCAUAACAACAUCUUAAUCCUAAUUCAUAUACAACAUAACAACAUCAUUAAUUCAUAAUAAUAAUUAUUCAUCAAACAUCUCAUUAUCAAUUCAUUAAUAAAAGACAACUUAUCAAUUUAACAUAAACAUCAUCAAGUACACUUAACAACUCAUAGAUAUCAUCAUGUAAUCAUCAUCACUAAUAACUUUAAAACAACACAAUAUAAUCAUCUCUUAUUAAUAGUAAUAAUUAUCUACAUCAUAACAUAAACAUCUUCUUAUAAUAAUAUAACAACAACAUAACAUGAUAUUCACUUAAUAAUAAUAAUAAUUAUAUAUACAUCAUCUCGUCAUAAUAUAAUAAUAUAACAACAACAUAGCAUGAUAUUCACUUAAUAAUAAUAAUAAUUAUAUAUACAUCAUCUCUUCAUAAUAUAAUAAUAUAACAACAACAUAUUCAUCUUCUUGUAUUAAUAUAACAACAACGUAUUCAUCAUCUUAUGAAAAUAUAAUCAACACAUACUAACACCAAAAUCAACAUCAUAAAUCUUCAACAUAAACAUCUUAAACAAUAUCAUCUUAAACAUCAUAGCAUCUUUGAUAAACAAUUACCAAGUAAUCACAACAUUCGAUCAUCAUCAAUAACAUAACAUAAUAUUCACUUAAUAAUAUUAAUCAUAUAUAGAACAACAUAUUCAUCACUUAAUAGUAACAAUUAUACACAACAUCAUAACAACUUAACAAUAUCAUAAUCAUUAUCUUAAACAACAUAGCAACGUAACAAUAUCAUAAUCAAUAUCUUAAACAACGUAGCAACAUAACAGUAUCAUAAUCAACAUGUUAAACAACAUAGCAACAUAACAAUAUCAUAAUCAAUAUCUUAAACAACGUAGCAACAUAACAAUAUCAUAAUCAACAUGUUAAACAACAUAGCAAUAUUUUAGUCAACAUCAUAUAAUUCACAUCGUAUAAUCUUCGUAGGUACUUCUUUAACAACACAUGGGUAGAACACAACUCGACAAACUCAUGGAUGAUAAUUCAUCGACAACUUAACAACUCAUGGAUGAUAAUUCAUCAACAACGACCUUGACUCGACAUAUGCGACAAUGCAACUUAGACACUUAUAUGCAUGUGGUACCAAUCGUCAUCAUAAGUAUUAAUAUACUUUUAUCGUGCGGAGGACAAAGCUCCUAAAACGUGCGGAGGACAAAGCUCCUAAUCGUGGUGAGGACAAAGCUCAAUGAAAUGCUAUGCAUGGACUCUUAACAACAAAACACCGUAAUCAUCGUAAUCAACAUAUCAUCAUGCAUCCAAUAAUUUGGAGCUAAACGUCAUCAUUUCAUAAUAUAUAUAUAGACAUCAUGCACUUAGUUAAAUAACAGCAGUAGCACAGUCAAAUCACACAACAAUAGAGAGAUAUCAAUAUAUCAAUUGCAAUUCACAACAUAACAAUAUUAAUGUGAAGCAUCAACAACUUAAACAUCAAACAUCUUCCACAUAAGGCAUAUAAAUAUUUCACAUAACCAACAACAACAACAUAGGCGACACAUAAACAUCUCAGGAUAUAACAAUAUCAAAUGAUAAUCAACAACAACUCAUGCAACUUAGUUAAAUAACAAUAGCAGCAUAAUCAGAUCAUAUCAACAGCUUAAUAUCAAUUCAUUUUCAACAACUUCCUAAUCAUUCAAUAAUAAUUCAAGUAAUGCAAUCAAUCAAUAAAUCACAUUAUAAACACUUAGCAUUUCAAUAUAGCUUCACAAAUAACAGUUAACAUCUUAGAUAGGUCUCAUUAGUACCUAAAGUUCCAUUCCUAAUCCAAUCAAACGACUCAGGUCUCAAAUUCCUCAAAAGCACUCAAUUCUGGAUGUGCUCGCGAGGCGAGAGUUCUUACUCGCCAUGGCGAGUACCACUCAUCUCCCAAACUAGUGUUGUUCUGGGUUCAAUCUGAUCCUACAUUCAAUCCUAAUCAAUACUAGGUAUGUUCAGGCACUCUAAGGCAUCCAAGGUCCAACUAAAAAGGUCGAAACACAAAAUAUGACAUGCUCUCUGCCUGAGCUCGCGAGGCGAGGAAGGGUUGUUCGCCGUGGCGAGCGAUGCCAGAAACGCUCGCGAGGCGAAAGGAAAGGGCUCGCGAGGCGAGCGAUGAAGAUCAUCACUCGCGAGGCGAGGUUCAUAGCUCGCCGUGGCGAGCGAUGAAUGUCGCUACGGCCAGGCUUCCUAUUUUCACAAAAACUCGACGAUUCACAUGGUUCUAAGCUUGUUCUUGAUUCCAAAGUUCGUCCUAAACAUUAUCUAAGGUCUAGGAACACUUUCUACAUCAAUUAAACCAAUUCUCACCGUUUGAUCAUCAAUUCUAAGGUUUUGACCUAGUUUUCGUUUUCUCCAAUUCAAUCCUUUCUCAAGGUUUUAAGCCUAAUUUCGAUUCCUUAAUUCAUCUUAAUCAUUAUCUAAGGUCUAAGGACAGUUUCUACAUCUUUUUAACAAGUUUCCACCGUUUAUUCAUCAAUUCUAUCAAUUUGACCUAAUUUCCGAUUCUUCUUAAACUCAUCCUAAUCAUGUUAAACUUAACCAUUGAUUCACAUACUUAAUAGAAUUGCAAAGUUAGUCUCACCCUUACCUUAUAAUCAGGAAAUCGCAGCCCCUCUAGGUCUCUCCCUCUUCUCUUGGCUUUUCUCCCUUUUCUCCAAAAGCAGUCGUACGUACAUUAUGUUUUUCUAAACUAGGUCUCUCCUAUUUAUAUAAAUCUUUAACCUACUUAUUUUUCUCUUAAAUCCAAAUAUUAAUAUUCUAUUCUAAUAUAUACAUAUAUAUAAUAUAUUUCUAUAACAAAUGACAUAUAUACAUUUCUAAACCAAAUAACAUAUAUUAUAUUUUUAAAUCAAAUAGCAUAUAUAUAUUUCUAAAUCAAAUAACAUAUAUAACAUAUAUCAUAACAAAAUAUCACUCAUCAAAAUAAAUCAUAUAAAACACAAAAAUCAUAUAAGUAUAUUCUAAACUCAUUUAAAAUAAUCAAAUAAUUAGAGAGGGCGUUACAGUAACACUGCGAGUAAAAAAAGAUUAAAUUAUUUUCGCAAAUUAAGUUAAACAAAUAUCUACUAAUUUACAAUUAUAGUGAAAAAGAUUGAGCAUAAUCUACUAAUUUACAUAAAUCAAUUAACUUUAAAUUUUACGCAAAUCAAUACAUUUAUAAACUAUAAAUAUAUUACCUAUAAUAUUUUUGAAAAACUAAACCUGCACAACGCACAAGCUCAUAUAUCUAGUUUGUAAUUAAAAUUAAAAACAAGAAACGGAAACAUAUAACAGAAGCGGAAACCAAACAUGCCCUUAUAUUUAGAGCUGAUUGUAAAUUACAAUGCCUAACACCUUUCCUCAUUCUUCUGGCGGCGUUAUUAUUAAGGUGCCGUUUAAUUUGGGAAAGGAGAUUUUUUUCCCACCAUGGGAAAGUUUUUUUGGAUCAUUAGAUUAUGCAAGGAACAUAAUAUUAUUAUGGUCUGUCAGUACCAGAAAUAACCACUCAUCCUCUAUUAUCAUCUUUUUCUUCCAUUCUUCCGACGCCUCUUCCAUGGUCGUCGCCGCUUACAACCACCGUUUCCGUCGCCAUAUCUUCCUCUCUCACCUCCCUACUUGCGACGUUGGCUUCACAAUUGUGGAUACUUUUUACUCUAUCUUCUUCACUAUUUCUUAUUUUUCAAAACCAUGUUUGUGUUCUGUUUAACAAUCGAAACUAACUACUUCUGAUUUCAACUGCACAUCAGGCUCAUUCUUCUCCUUCUCUCCAUCAUCACUGCUGACCGCCAUCUCUCCUCUUCCUCACGUUAGCGCCGUGACGAUUCUUCCCCAAAACAAAACAAAAUCAAAAACUAGAAACAAUACAACCUCAAAUCAAUCUUUCAACAGCUAGAUCUAAGACUGAAAUAAAAUAAAAAAAAUCAGAAAGUCAUUUAUCAAAACAAUGAUGAACAAAUUAUCAAAAGGAUCCAGAAUCAAAUUCUUUGGAAAUAGAUUUGGCAACACAAACCAGAAAUAGAAAACAACAAACGCCUUUUUUGAAUAAUUCUGUUUGAGUUAACAAGUUGUUGAUGAUGGUGUUUUAUGAGUUUCUAAUGUUCAUGGUGAUGAUGAUUGCGUGAGAACAUAGAAGAAGGAAGCAAAUGCUUUUGUUUGGUGGUGGUGAUGGUGGUGGUGGGUGGGGACAUGGAAGAAAGAGGGGUGGAAGAUUAGUUGAUUCCCUGUGUAAAAUUCCAGAUCUUAGAGGAUGAAUAAAGUAUGGGUGGACCAUGAUAAGAUCAAUAGACCUCAUUAAUCUAAUGGCUAAAUCUAAACUUUCCCAUGGUGGAAAAUAACAUUCCUUUCCCAAAUUAAAUGACACCUAUUAUUAAUGUUAUCUCUUGUAUUUUCUUGUCUAGAUAAUGGUCUGAUAUGCUAACUAAUAAAAUAUUCAGCAGGAGCAACCAAAACUUUCAAAGAGAGGUGCCUUAACUUUUCUAAGUAUUCAAGAACAGAUGUGCAUGUGUUGUUCUAUCUCAUACCUUUAUUUUUCUAACGACAACAAGUCUGGUUGUUUUCAUAUAUUAAUACGGAGUCAUCAUUCUUUACCAAGAGCAAUGAUUUAAGGGUUACUGUUCUAAACCGACCAAAUGCUCAAAGGUCUAUUUACAUAAGCCCAAUACAAAUUGACCCAAAUUUAGCAUUUGGGCAAAAUUACUGGGGGGGGGGGGGGGGGGGGGGGGGGCUCGGAGUAACAAGGACUCGUUCAAACUCAACAGUAACGUCUCCCAUUCGUUCCGCGAAUCUCGCUCUGCAGUUACGAUUCCCACGAAUUAGUAACCGUCGAGCCCUGCCUGUGCCAUACAAAGGCUCCUGAGGUACAAUCAACUGGUAUGCUUGUGACUUGUCAUGUCCAGGGGCGGAGGCAGUGUGAAACAUGGUGUGGCAUAUGCCACACCAGUUUCUAAUCUUUUUUUUUUUUUAUAUCCAUAAUUCAUAAAAGGCCUGGCAUGGGGAGAAGAAAAUUAAAAGGCCUGCCAUAAUUCAUUGAUUGUGAAUUGUUUUUUCAUCUUCUCCAAUUUUUUCAUCUUGUUUCAUCUCCUCUUCUCCUCCUCUUCUCAUUCAUUCUACUCUCCUCUUCUCAAAAUUCACAAUUCACAAUCAAUGAAUCAAAUAUCUUUUUACAACAAACAAACAAACCUCUCCUUCCACUCUCAUCGGUCAACAACAUAAUUUUCUCUCUUCACUCAAGUCUAAGCCAAGGUAAGUGAAAUAGUCAAUUGAUUCUCUACUUUCUCAUUCAUUCUACAAUUGAUUUUUUAGGGUUUUAGAAUUGUGAAUUGGGGAUUUGGGGUUUUUUUUAGGGUUUGAAUUGGGGUUUUAAAAUUCUGCAAUGAAUGAAUUUAAGCAACUUUAGGGUGAUGUGAACUAUGAUUUCAACCUGUAUGUGCAAGUUUAACAAUUCAUCAUUUUCGUUGUUUAUUUUGCUACUGCCGGUGCCGAGUUUUAUGGCUUUGUUUGUUUUGUUUUAUUAAUAAUACAAGUUAAAAAUUGCUUGUUUAUGAUAAUUGAUUAAUUAUUGUACAAUGGUGUUUAUAAAUUAUAGGAUGAAGAAAUUCUUCCCUGUGUUGUCUAGAGACAAAGCUAGUUCUUCGACUACGGAUAUUGCUCCCAACUCGACCAAUGAGGGUGUUAAAGUUGUUGAUUAUAAAUUGUUGGAAACAGAUCCAGGAAUUAGGCCUCCAAUUUCAAGCUAUCAUCCUGACAUCCAAGAUGAGGUACGUAAAGCUUACUUGAAAAUUCGUCGUCAUCAACCUCCUAGCAACUUUGUUUAUCCUUGGUCUGAUUUUCGUGGAACAAGACGUCGAUUUAACAAGAAUUGGUUUAAUUUGUAUGAUUGGCUUGAAUAUAGUGAAUCUAAGAACCUAGCAUUUUGUUUGCCAUGUUUUUUGUUUAAAAAUGUGUCUAAUUAUGGUGGGGAUCACUUUGUGGGAGAUGGUUUUGGUGAUUGGAAGAAUCCCCGAAAAUUGGCUAAUCAUGCUACUUCUAAUAAUUCUCAUGUUGAUUGUGUGCAUAUGGGUUAUGCUCUCAUGAACCCAAACCAAAGUAUUAAGGCUGCAUUUGUUAAUCAAACUAAGCAAAUGAAUGUUGAAUAUUGUGUCCGUGUUAAGACAUCCCUUUUAGCUACUAAGUAUCUUUUGAGGUGUGGAUUGGCAUUUAGAGGAAGUGACGAGGCUGAUGACUCUUUAUACAAGGGGCCAUUUCUUGAGUUGUUGGACACUUUAAAGGAAAACAACUCAGAUGUAGCUACUAUAUUAGAUUCUGCGCCAGGAAAUAGCUUAAUGACUUGCCCUAAGAUUCAAAAGGAUCUUGCUUCUGCUUGUGCAUGUGAAAUAACUCGAGAAAUUGUUUGUGAUAUUGCGGAUGAUGUGUUUUGUGUUUUGAUCGAUGAAUCUGGUGAUGUUUCUGGUAGAGAACAAAUGGCUGUUGUUCUUCGUUAUGUUGAUGGUGAUGGUUUGGUAAAAGAGAGAUUUCUUGGUAUUACAAGUGUUAAAGAAACAAGUGCUAAGUCACUUAAAGAUGCACUUGAGACGAUGUUGUCUAUAAAUGGAUUGAGUUUCUCUAGCAUCAGGGGACAAGGUUAUGACGGAGCUAGCAAUAUGCGAGGUAGAUUUGGUGGUUUGAAAACUUUAAUUCAAAAUGAGAAUCCAUCUGCGCAUUAUGUGCACUGUUUCGCACAUCAACUUCAAUUGGCACUUGUUGCUUGUGCUAAGACUCACAAACCUGUUAGUGGUUUUUUCGGUAAGGUCAACAUGCUUGUUAAUUUCAUACGAGCUUCUAACAAGAGACAAGAAAUGCUCCGGGACAAACAACUAGCUCAAUUUGCUAAAUUGAUUGAGGAGGGCGAGAUAGAGACCGGUAGUGGACUGAAUCAAGAUUCAUCAAUUGCUCGAGCAGGGGACACUCGUUGGGGAUCCCACUUUAGGACUCUCACUAGUUUGAUGACUUUGUAUGGUGCCAUUGUUGAGGUAAUUGUAGAAGUGGGGAAUGAUCCCUCGUUUGAUAAAUUUGGUGAAACUGUGCUUUUGCUUGAUGUGCUUCAAUCAUUUGAUUUUAUCUUCAUGUUAUAUAUGAUGGUUGAGAUUUUGGGAAUUACAAAUGAUUUGAGCCUAGCACUACAAAGACGUGAUCAAGAUCUUUUAAAUGCUAUAUCACUUGUAAAUGAUACCAAAAAACAAUUACAAGAAAUGAGGAAUGAGGGGUGGGAAGAACUUAUAUCUAGGGUUGUGACAAUUUGCACUAAACAUGAGAUUGAUGUACCUGAUAUGGAUGCACCAUAUAUGGAAGGAAAGAAACCUAGGCGAGUCCCUCCGGUUUCUAGUGUUUCUAAUUUGCAUCAUUAUAAGAAUGAUUGUUUGUUUAGUGUUUUAGAUAUGCAAUUGCAAGAGCUUAAUGCUAGGUUUGAUGAAGAGAAUACCGAACUUUUACAAUGUGUUUCAUGUUUGAGUCCUGCAAAGUCAUUUUCUGCUUUUGAUGUGAACAAAUUAUUGAGGAUGGCUGAGCUUUAUCCAAAUGAUUUUGUAGAUGUGUCGGAAGUGGAGUUGCGCAGACAACUUCAUAAUUAUGUUAGAAAUGUUAAAUCUGAUCCAAAAUUUUCAAAGUUGAAAGGGCUUUCGGAUCUUUGUGCAAUACUUGUGGAAACAAAUAAGUGCAAGACAUUUGCUUUGGUUUUUAAGCUUUUGAAGUUGGCUUUGCUCUUGCCGGUUGCAACUGCAAGUGUUGAACGUGUUUUUUCAGCUAUGAAGAUUGUGAAGAGUCAUUUACGUAACAAAAUGGGUGAUCAAUGGUUAAAUGAUCGGCUUGUAACUUUUAUUGAAAGAGAUGUUCUUUUCACAAUUAGCACUGAUGUUAUUCUAGCUCAUUCUCAACAAAUGGAUGGCAGACGAUUUUUAUUGUAAUUUAACAAAUGUAUGAUUAAAUGUUUAUAUAUUAUUUUUAGUAUAAUUGUAUUAUAGUUUCUUUAAAAAUUUUGCCACACUAAUAUGCAAUGUCUAAAUCCGUCGCUGGUCAUCUCUUAUGUGUUAGGCUGACAAUAUUCCCCUUUUCAAGGGAGCGGGCUGGUGAUCCUUAUUCAGUUAUUCUUAUUCCAGCUGAGCCGCCCUGGUUUUCUCGUUAUCUAAUAUACUAUUCGUUGCGGUAAUCCUCAAAUAUGGUCACUCUUUUGUUUGUUGAGCCAAUCGUUUUUUAACCGAGAAUAUUAUUAAGCUGACGUCGCUCACGUACUGCGCAUGAGGUGAGUUUGACAUACGCCUCUUACCUGGUUGUUUUGGGCUAGUCUAAUAAUGCAUUGUAGCGUCUUUGACAAAAGCGACGAUGAGAUCAUGAACACUAUCCUAGACUUUGGUGUUGGACAGACAAAAUAUCACAUAACACCACCACUUAAGUCAAUUUCACGGAAUCACAUGCCCUCGAGAUUUUCAAAAGCUAUGACAAGUGUACUACAUAAAGCUGACAUGUGUAAGUAAGUAACUUUUACAAAAUUACCACCCUCCUUUUUCUUACAAGGAAUAAAAUAAAAUUACCACCACCGUGAUUUGGAUCAAAGUACACUGUAAACGUAAAAAUUGAUGAAUAUCUUCUUCACAAAUCACAAGUACAGAAGAAGAAGAAAAAGAAGACGUCGCAGUCAUACUGCACCGCAAACUGCGCACUUCACACCCUAUAAAUCAACAUCAGUACUAUUCUCUCUCUCUCUCUCUCCUCACUCCUCCAUGGCAGCAACAAAACCAAACUCCACUCUCUCUCCACCACCGUCACCCGAAACCCUAGAAUUCAAAUGGGGUAAAAAACGCGGCAAAGGAGGCAAAAAACGCGACACACAAUUCUACGAAUCAUUCACUUUCGACGGUGAAGACUAUUCUCUCUUCGAUACCGUUUAUCUUCAAAACGGAAAUGAGCCGCAGUCAGAGCCGCAUAUCGGUAAAAUCAUUAAGAUUUGGGAAGUUCCUAAUCGUGAAAAGGCUAAGAAGGUUAAGAUUCAGUGGUUUUUUCGACCUCGUGAAGUUUCCAAGUUUUUGAAGAGGAUUCAGAUUUAUUAUAAUGAGCUUUUCUUUGCUACUGGUGUUGGUAAUGGUCUUACCAAUAUCAAUCCUGUGGUAAUUCAAUUUUUAAAUUUGAUUAAUUAUUUUAAUUUAGUUAUUAGAUCAAUGUGGUUGGUUUAGUUGAAUCUAUGUGAAUUUAGUUGAAUUUGUGUGAAUUUUAAUCAAUUAUGUUGAAUCAUAUGAAUUUUACUCAAUUAUGUUGCUAGUGUUACUCAAUUAGUUGAAUUGACUUUAGUUUAUAUGCACUGUUGGUGUACAAAAGUUUUAAUUUACACGUGCAUACAAUGAUGGGUUACCACAUCUUUUGAUGAGGUAUGCCAAGAAUGUGUUUUUAAUUCGUUGAUGUGGCAACCCAUUAUUGGAUGCAUGUGUAAAACAUUUGUACACUGACAGUGUAUAUAAAUUAAACUUGCAGUUGAAUUAUAUGAAUUUAACUCAAUUAUAUGGUGAGAUUUAGUUGAAUUACAUAUUUUACUCAAUUUAUGUGGACUUUUACUACUUUGAAAUGGGGGUCACUAAAUAGGGAAUUAGAUUAUUGUUAUUUAGUUGGAUUUAGUUUGGAUUGAUGUGAAUUUUACUCGAUAAAAUGGUGAGAGUGUUGGAAAGAGAUUGUUAGAGGGUGUGUUGCUAGCAUAGUUGUGUAGGAUAAGAAAAAUUUAUGUGGGUUUUGCUGCUUUGAAAUAAGGGACGCUAAACAGGGAAUUUGAUCACCGUCGUUUAGUGGAGUUUAGUCAGAAUCCAUGUGAACUUUACUCAAUUAGUGGAAUUUAGCUUGAAUCCACGCGAAUUUCACUCAAUUAUAUGAUGUUGAUUGGUGAUCUGAUUUCCUGUUUAGAGGCACUCUUUUCAAAGUACUGAAACCCACAUAAAUUUUACUUCUCCUACACAACAGUGCUAAGAACACACCCUCUAACAGUCUCUUUCUAAUCCAUGUGGAUUUUUGUCAAUCAUAUGGUGAAAGUGUUGGAAAGACAUUGUUAGAGAGUUGUGUUGCUAGUGUUCCUUUGUAGGAUAAAUAAAAUUUAGGUGAGCCGAUGUCCCAUCAUUUUGAAAUGAGUGCCGUGUGCCGCUAAAUAGGGAAUUAAAUCACUUUCAUUUAGUGGGAUUUAGUUCGAAUCCAUGUGAAUUUUACUCAAUUAUACUGUUUACAUUGUUGAAAAGAGAUUGUUAGAGAAUGUGUUUCUCGUACUUCUUGGCGGUAUGGUAAAAGUUGUGUGAUCUCAUUAACGAGUGUUUUGCUUUUGUAAUAAAUUCUUAUUCAGUUUUGCUUGGGUUGGAUUGGAACAGACCAUCAGUUACAACCCUAAUUGAAUUGGCUAUUUUUGUAUGGUGUAUCAGGAAUCUAUUGCUGGGAAAUGCAAUGUUGUUUGCAUUUCUAAGGAUGCUAGGAAUCCACAACCAUCAGAUGAAGCAGUUCAGAAUGCUGACUUUGUGUUCUAUCGCUACUUUGAUGUUGGGCAGCGUAAAAUAGUGGAGGAGGAGGAGGUAGAUGAAAAGAGUGUCGGAAUUGAUGGUAAGUGGGACUGAUCCUAGCUAGUGUGUUUGAAUAUGCUGGACUAUUCAGUAGUAACUUAUUUUCUUUGAAUUGUUGAAAUCUCAUGGUCUGCUUUUUUUUCCUCAAAUUGUUGCAGUUAAAAAACUAUUUAACAAAAUGCCAUAGUCAAAAGUUUGCUGCUGCUGUAAAACAUUAUUUAUACAAGAAAGGAGUUGGUGAAGAGUGCCUUGAAAAGUAGUGAAAUUGCUUUUCUGAGUAAUUAAAAGAAAAAAUAGCCAGUCUGUAGUUAAAAGGUAGCUGGCAAAUAUGUUGUUACAUUAGUUACAGAAAGGAGAUGUUUAAUUUACUUGGAAUAGUAAAUAACUAUGGAGGAAAACCGUCUUAGAAGACAAACUUUAGAGGUUCAAUUGUGUUGUUACAUUAGUUACAGAAAGGGGAUGUUUAAUUUACUUGAAAUAAUAAAAACCUAUGGAGGAAAAGCCUUCUUAGAUGAAUAAAUCUUGAAGGUUCAGUUAUUUUUGCGACAAAGAGGAAGUUUUUUUGUCGGGUAUACAAAUUUGGUGUUUCUGAUAUUUAUUUCUGAAAUUUGGUGCCUUUGAAUUAUUGUAGUUUUAUAGCCUGAUGUGAUUCGUAUUGAGUUCACUUACUAUCAUUGUUAUUAUUUAAAAGAGAUUGAGUAUGGUUACUUAUAAACAGCCAUUUGAAUCAACUCAUAACUUCCUAUAAUUUAGGUUUUUUUAGAUUUGUCUUUCUUUACUAUUGUGAUGAAGAAUUUUGCUGUUAUUUGUCUCUCUGGGUAUUAUUUCCUUGUCCAGUAAAUCACGUGAUAUAAGUGGACACAUCAUCUCUGCAAAUACAAUAUAGGCAAUUUAGCCUUCAGUUUCAUGUUUUUCCAUAAGAUGUUUACUGAUGCAAACACAUACCUCUUCAUUCAAGUAUCGUGAACUUUUGAUUUGCUUUAAGUCUUCAAUGACAAUAAUGACUCAAAUUUUUAUGUUGUUGGUCAAGCUUUGGUUAUAUUUUAAAAUAAAAGCAAGACGUAAAUGAUAGUUAUUAGCAAAUAAGUUGAGGAUUGUUUAUUUAUGUCAGAUUGAUGGUAUACACGCGUCAAAUGCUUGAUACGAGUUUUGGAUUUGUAUCAAGGACAAUAAUGGCAUGACUAUGAUGCAGGUCAUGCUUUGGUUACUUUUUUGAAUGAAAGCAAGAAAUGAUAGUUUUUUUUUUUCCGACCUAAAUAAGUGAUAGCUUGUUAUUAGCAAAUAAUUGAGGACUGUUUAUUUAUGUCAGAUUGAUGGUAUUUCUAUACUCUCAUUUGGUUCCUGCUAGGUUUUCACCUAUUAAAUUAUGGAUGUGUGGGACUCAACCCAAAUUCCCUGCACUUCUGCAAUCAGCCGUUGGAUGAAGAUUGGAUAACUUGGAAUCAAACUCAACAAAUUGGGUUUUAAACGCGAUAUAUAACAUGGGCAAUUGUAUCUUUAUCAAACGGCAGAGAUCCGCACUGCGUUGAUUCGCAAUUUCAGGGAAUCCAUUUUCAUUUUCUGUGUUCUUAGGAUGACAUGUUACACACUUUAAUAGAUUCAAUGCUUUCAUGUUGAAAAGCUUUUGCGUAUCGACUAAAUUCAUAUCGAUGGUAUAUACGUUUAGUUCAAAUGAAUGAUAUGAGUUUUAGAUCCAUGUCAAGGACACAUGACAUGAUAUAUAUGAUGCAGGUCAAGCUUUGAAUAAUAUAAAUAAAAGCAAGUAGUGAAAGCUUGUUAUUAUUGUAUAAAUAAACCGAGGAUUGUUUAUUUGUGCCAGAUUGAUUAUAUACACAGAGCUUCAAAUGCUGUUCAGAAGGAGAUUCAAGCUUAUUUUCAUCAACUUGGUAGAUGUAGAUUCAACAAAUGAUGAGUUUAUCACACAAAAAAGAAAAAAAAGAAAUACAUAAGAAAAACAAAUAAUGACUGUACAUUCGUUGAAGUAUUUUAGGUGAAUUUACAUAUUUGUUGGGAGUCCAUGUACGAGCAUAAUAAUAGUUUCUAUGGGAAUUUACACAAUUCUUCCAUCAGGACUUGUUCUCAAGCUGGUGAUGGUGACCAUGAGAAGUUCCAACCUCUAGGCUGUUAGAAUUGUGAUGAUUUGCUUCGGCUGAGGAUGAUUUGGCAUGUAAACCAUGACCGAGUUUCUCACUCUUCUUUGAUUCAUCUACAUGCACAUCAUCUUCAACUGAUAUAGCUACUGCUUGUUGUCCGAAAGGACCAGGUGCAAUGGUUUCCAUGCCCUUUUUAUGCUCAUCGAUAUGUAUGAUAGCUGAGGAUGAUUUGGCAUCAUUCGCAUGUAAACCAUGACCGAGUUUCUUACUCUUCUUUGAUUCAUCUACAUGCACAUCAUCUUCAACUGAUAUAACUACUGCUUGUUGUCCAAAAGGACCAGGUACAAUGGUUUCCUUGCCCUUUUUAUGCUCAUCGAUGUGUAUGAUAUCGGUUUCUUGUGUCUUCUUCUCUUUCCUUUUCUGAAAGCAGCAAAAUAGUACAAAAGUAAACAAAGAAAGCAAGGCAAGGCCCCCAGCACAGACGACCACAACUACUAUAAUUAUGGGAGAGUUGUCGGAUUGAGUUGAGGCCAUCUUUGUUAAUCAAUUGAUGAUUUUCUCAAAAUGUUGGUUUUCUAUAUUGAAUUUGGUGGUUUAUGUGCUUUUUUGAAAUGUGUAUUUAUAGGAAAUACUUGGUAUGGAAUAAUGCAAUUGUUUUAGUAACUUGACUCUCAUGCUAAGUUUCAAGGGUUGUUUGUAGUGAAAAACACUUCUUUUCAUGCUUCCUUGGCUUAUUUUGCUUGUUGAUCUGUUUUUUUGUUUAAAAAAUUUGUAGGAUCUGUUUGUUGUUUACGUGAGGUUGGAAUAUCUUGUGCAUCAAGGGCAAUGUAUAAUUUUGAUCGAAUAUACAUGUAAAUAUUGUUAAUUAGCUGCCAAUCCAUCAAUAAAAGAGUGUAGCAUCUUAUAUGAACAUUUCUGGUGUGUGUGUUACU
rnacentral:lncRNA from 1 species